rnacentral:rRNA from 1 species
AAUAUUGGACAAUGGGCGAAAGCCUGAUCCAGCCAUGCCGCGUGAGUGAUGACGGCCCUAGGGUUGUAAAGCUCUUUCGCAGGUGAAGAUAAUGACGGUAACCUGAGAAGAAGCCCCGGCUAACUCCGUGCCAGCAGCCGCGGUAAUACGGAGGGGGCUAGCGUUGUUCGGAUUUACUGGGCGUAAAGGGCGCGUAGGCGGAUGUUCGCGUCAGAGGUGAAAGCCCCGGGCUCAACCUGGGAACUGCCUUUGAAACGGGACAUCUUGAGUUCGAGAGAGGUGAGUGGAAUUCCGAGUGUAGAGGUGAAAUUCGUAGAUAUUCGGAGGAACACCAGUGGCGAAGGCGGCUCACUGGCUCGAUACUGACGCUGAGGUGCGAAAGCGUGGGGAGCAAACAG